UGGCCUAGUGGUUAAGGCUAUGGAUCGCCAAUCCGGAGACGGCGGGUUCGAAUCCCGU
rnacentral:tRNA from 1 species